rnacentral:rRNA from 1 species
CCUACGGGUGGCAGCAGUGAGGAAUAUUGGUCAAUGGGCUUACGCCUGAACCAGCCAAGUCGCGUGAGGGAAGACUGCCCUAUGGGUUGUAAACCUCUUUUGUCAGGGAGCAACGCCGGCUACGUGUAGCCGGACUGAGAGUACCUGAAGAAAAGGCAUCGGCUAACUCCGUGCCAGCAGCCGCGGUAAUACGGAGGAUGCGAGCGUUAUCCGGAUUUAUUGGGUUUAAAGGGUGCGUAGGCGGAAUGCCAAGUCAGCGGUAAAAUCGGGGGGCUCAACCUCGCUCAGCCGUUGAAACUGGCGGUCUUGAGUGGGCGAGAAGUAUGCGGAAUGCGUGGUGUAGCGGUGAAAUGCAUAGAUAUCACGCAGAACUCCGAUUGCGAAGGCAGCAUACCGGCGGCCAACUGACGCUGAAGCACGAAAGCGUGGGUAUCGAACAGGAUUAGAUACCCGUGUAGUC